AGUCGAGGGGUAUAGUUCUUCGGAGCUAGAGACCGGCGCACGGGUGCGUAACGCGUAUGCAAUCUGCCUUUCACAGAGGGAUAGCCCAGAGAAAUUUGGAUUAAUACCUCAUAGUAUUAUGGAAGGGCAUCCUUUUAUAAUUAAAGUCACAACGGUGAAAGAUGAGCAUGCGUCCCAUUAGCUAGUUGGUAAGGUAACGGCUUACCAAGGCAACGAUGGGUAGGGGUCCUGAGAGGGAGAUCCCCCACACUGGUACUGAGACACGGACCAGACUCCUACGGGAGGCAGCAGUGAGGAAUAUUGGUCAAUGGGCGCAAGCCUGAACCAGCCAUGCCGCGUGCAGGAUGACGGUCCUAUGGAUUGUAAACUGCUUUUGUACGAGAAGAAACACUGAUUCGUGAAUCAGCUUGACGGUAUCGUAAGAAUAAGGAUCGGCUAACUCCGUGCCAGCAGCCGCGGUAAUACGGAGGAUCCAAGCGUUAUCCGGAAUCAUUGGGUUUAAAGGGUCCGUAGGCGGUUUAGUAAGUCAGUGGUGAAAGCCCAUCGCUCAACGGUGGAACGGCCAUUGAUACUGCUGAACUUGAAUUAUUAGGAAGUAACUAGAAUAUGUAGUGUAGCGGUGAAAUGCUUAGAUAUUACAUGGAAUACCAAUUGCGAAGGCAGGUUACUACUAAUGGAUUGACGCUGAUGGACGAAAGCGUGGGGAGCGAACAGGAUUAGAUACCCUGGUAGUCCACGCCGUAAACGAUGGAUACUAG
rnacentral:rRNA from 1 species